GGCAGUGGGAGUGAAAUCCAGUUUCUCUCAGAAGCACAAGAUGACCCUCAGAAACGAAAACCUGACAUCAGAAAAGCCAAGUUAUUGCUUGGCUGGGAGCCUGUGGUCCCGCUGGAGGAAGGUUUGAAUAAAGCAAUUCAUUACUUCCGUAAGGAACUUGAGUACCAGGCAAACAAUCAGUAUAUUCCCAAACCAAAACCUGCCAGGAUGAAGAAAGGAAGAACAAGGCAUAACUGAAGACUGAGAGCUGGACAGGAAGUUCCCUGCUUAACGUUGGACGGAUGUAAUAUUUUAUUUCUUGUUGUUUUUUUUUUUGGAGAGAGACUUUGAAACAGGUGUCAUGAAGAACAAACUGGAAUUUCAUUCUGAAGCUUGCUUUAAAGAAGUGGAUGUGCCUAAAAAUAACAAUAUUCCCCUUCCCCUGCAAAUCUUGCCUUGCACUUUUUAAAUCUGUCUUUUUAUGUAAAAUAGAGUAGAAGCAUCUUUUAGUAUCUUCAAGUUUUAUAUCUUGCUGUGAGAUCAUUUUGUUGUGACUGUCCUCGACAGUUUUAUUUACUGGUUUCUUUGUGAAGCUGAAGAUAAACACAAAUGGGAUGGAAAUGCCAAUUUAUUUAUAAAAUGGGUACUAUAAAAUAUGAGAUGUUCUACUAUGCAUAAGAAAAAAGCUAGUGGUGUUGUCAGGUAAGAGAGACUGACAUCUAUAAAGGAGUUUAAAAGAAAUCUGUAUGAGAGCUUUAUGUAUUCUUUAAAGGAGAGAUUUUUUCAAAGGUUUAGUGGUAGGUGUACACUUGAAUUUGAGAUAUUUUCAUUGAUGACCAUGGAUAAGGAUAUUUUGAAUCACUACUGUGUUGUGCGUGCUCUGGGAAUAAAGUUAAUGUAUUAUUGGUUACAGUGGUUGAAUAUGCUAUUUUAAUAAAAUACUGAAACUUCUCUUUA